rnacentral:rRNA from 1 species
UAGGGGAGCCGUAGGGAAACCGAGUCUUAACUGGGCGUCAUAGUUGCUAGGAUUAGACCCGAAACCGAGUGAUCUAGCCAUGGGCAGGUUGAAGAUUGAGUAACAUCAAUUGGAGGACCGAACCGACUAAUGUUGAAAAAUUAGCGGAUGACUUGUGGCUAGGGGUGAAAGGCCAAUCAAACUCGGAGAUAGCUGGUUCUCCCCGAAAGCUAUUUAGGUAGCGCCUCGGACGAAUACUACUGGGGGUAGAGCACUGUUAAGGCUAGGGGGUCAUCCCGACUUACCAACCCUUUGCAAACUCCGAAUACCAGUAAGUACUAUCCGGGAGACACACGGCGGGUGCUAACGUCCGUCGUGAAGAGGGAAACAACCCAGACCGCCAGCUAAGGUCCCAAAGUUAUAGCUAAGUGGGAAACGAUGUGGGAAGGCUCAGACAGCCAGGAUGUUGGCUUAGAAGCAGCCAUCAUUUAAAGAAAGCGUAAUAGCUCACUGGUCGAGUCGGCCUGCGCGGAAGAUUUAACGGGGCUAAGCUAUACACCGAAGCUGCGGCAAUGUGCUAUGCACAUUGGGUAGGGGAGCGUUCUGUAAGCCGUUGAAGGUGCAUUGUAAAGUGUGCUGGAGGUAUCAGAAGUGCGAAUGCUGACAUGAGUAACGACAAAGGGAGUGAAAAACUCCCUCGCCGGAAGACCAAGGGUUCCUGUCCAACGUUAAUCGGGGCAGGGUGAGUCGACCCCUAAGGCGAGGCCGAAAGGCGUAGUCGAUGGGAAACGGGUUAAUAUUCCCGUACUUCUUACUAUUGCGAUGGGGGGACGGAGAAGGCUAGGUGAGCCUGGCGACGGUUGUCCAGGUCCAAGUACGUAGGUGGAUGAAUUAGGCAAAUCCGGUUCAUCACUAACACUGAGAUACGAUGUCGAGCUACUACGGUAGCGAAGUCAUUGAUGCCAUGCUUCCGGGAAAAGCCUCUAAGCUUCAGAUAGUAAGAAAUCGUACCCCAAACCGACACAGGUGGUCGGGUAGAG